rnacentral:tRNA from 1 species
UAUCUCUAUAGUGUAAUGGAUUAACACGAAAGCCUACGAAGCUUUUAAUUCUGGUUCGAAUCCAGAUAGGGAUGUUCU